AGUACUUAGUCUGCCCAGAAACACACGCCUCAAUGUCUUCUGAAUUCAGAUGGCUCUGUAAGAAGAGGUGAAGGCUGCUAUCUGAAAGCAAAAGUGCAUUCUGUAGGACUCUAUAUUAAAAAAAAAAAGGAAAAAUAAUUGAACAGGAUGGUCAGUGAUAGGGUAGAAGAAAGAAAAACAUUAGAAAUGUACCACUGAAGAUUAAGAGAAGAGUUAUGGAGCAACAAUCCAUUAAUAUGAACUUGGAUCGUGAAGUCUGUGAAGUCCGAGCAGAGUGUUUCCUGUGGCCUCUGUCAGCGGUUUCCUGCCUGCCAUAAGUACAAGGAACUGUUCAUGGGAUUGUACUCGUGGCUUUGUUUCUGUUGGAAAUGUGUUUUAUUUUCUUUAUAAAAUAAUGGGUAAUCUUUAAAA